rnacentral:rRNA from 1 species
CGGCGAGCGAGCGGGAAGAGCUCAAAUUUAUAAUCUGGCACCUUCGGUGUCCGAGUUGUAAUCUCUAGAAGUGUUUUCCGCGUUGGACCGCACACAAGUCUGUUGGAAUACAGCGGCAUAGUGGUGAAACCCCCGUAUAUGGUGCGGACGCCCAGCGCUUUGUGAUACACUUUCAAUGAGUCGAGUUGUUUGGGAAUGCAGCUCAAAUUGGGUGGUAAAUUCCAUCUAAAGCUAAAUAUUGGCGAGAGACCGAUAGCGAACAAGUACCGUGAGGGAAAGAUGAAAAGCACUUUGGAAAGAGAGUUAACAGUACGUGAAAUUGUUGGAAGGGAAACGCUUGAAGUCAGACUUGCUUGCCGGAGCUUGCUUCGGUUUGCAGGCCAGCAUCAGUUUUCCGGGGUGGAUAAUAACGGUUUGAAGGUAGCAGUCUCGGCUGUGUUAUAGCUUUCCGUUGGAUACAUCCUGGGGGACUGAGGAACGCAGCGUGCUUUUUGCGAAAGACUCGUCUUUUUCACGCUUAGGAUGCUGGUGGAAUGGCUUUAAACGACCCG